CGACCCAAGGCUGGUGACUUUCUUCAGCAAAGAUGGCUGACAAAAAUACUAGGAUGGAAGCAAAUUUAAGGACUCCUGAAACAACCAGCAAACCAGGCUGUCGUCUUGUGAAACAGUGGAUGUAAAGAAUCUAGCUAGCUAAAGCAUUUACUGCAAAUUGAAUGAACAAUUUUACAUUACCCUUACCUGAACAGCACCCUCACCUGAGAAGUCAAAAUCAAAAGGAGAGAAACUGGGAAUUGAAUAACUGCUGUUG